rnacentral:lncRNA from 1 species
CUUAGUUCUUCGUGUCCUGUGGUCACCACGGACAUGUAAAUUGCUGCGCUCAUGCAGCAAAUAAAGAUUUUAAUGGAGGCGGUUCAAAGCCUCCAACAGCAGCAAAUUCAGCAGUAGCGCAGCCACCGAUGGAGGAGUCGGUGGCUCAUUCCUUGCCAUUUAGGCACAGCCGCCGUCCUCUAUGGUGCUCAUCUUUCUCUUCUCCAAAGCGACGAUCGUCUUGACACUCUCACC